CAGUAGGUAGAAUUAUUGAUUGUUUGAUAUAUUGACUAUACAUGUACUUUACAUUUACAUUCACAUUAUUAACACUACAAAUAUCAAUCUGCUAUUUAAGGCAUGGUGGUCUCAAACGAGGAGAUCAAUUAUUAUCUGUUAACGGAGUGAGUGUUGAAGGAGAAAACCAUGAAAGAGCUGUAGAUCUUCUGAAAGCUGCUCAAGGAAAAGUACGACUGGUAGUGAAGUACACACCAAAAUGUGAGUUGUAUUUCAG